UAACAUAUAUUUAUUUAUAUUUAAAUAGAGUUGAUGAAUUUUAGUAAUAAAUUUAUAAUUAACACAUAUUUAUUUUAUUUUAAUUACGUUCUAAAUAUUUAACGAUUUAUGAAGUCAAAAUAGUUUAGAAUUUUACUUUGAAAAGAAUUCGAAUUUGGAAAACGAUCUUAAUCGGUUUUGAUCCAAACACUCAUACUCAAAUUCUAAUCCUAUCCCAAAUUGAUAAAGCCCAAAACAAAUAACCCAUAAUUGCCCAUCAUUGUUUUAAUUUCACGUAAACAAGAAUCUCUCUCCUCCCAAUUCACAAACCCACAACAAAGAAAAGAAAAAAAAGAAAAAGAACCACCUCUUUCCCUCCUUCACGUGCAUAUGCAAACCCUCAAACCUCCCCUUCCCCUCACGUGGACCUUGCUGAACUGUUGCACCCUUGCAGCGCCGCCAUAGCCGUCGACCAACCACCACACGGCCACCACUCCUCCACUAUUCGCCACCGUGUUGUCACUCACCACCACCAACAACGCACCACCGUCGUUGCUGCAGCCCCCUUGUCGCGCCGCACCGCCCAGCCGCGGCCUAGCUUUCCUCUUUUCUCCUCCACGCACAGCAACACCGUUCAUUCCUCCUUUUCGUUGUUGUUUCUCCCUGCUCUGCAAGCUGCGCCGCCUGCAAGACCACCGCGAGAACCUGCAACCACCAGUCGCGCCUCCUAGUCCCACUGUCGCGCCUCCCUACCGCCGGCAGUCCCUUCUCCUUUCUCCUCUUGAUUUGGCGGAGAAUUCUUUGUAGGCGACUUUUGAAUUCGUUAAAGUGGGCUAUCAGUUUGUUUACACAAGUCUCUAAGGAUCAAUAAGCGUUGCCCAUCUACAGGUCUGAAGAUGAUGCAUCAUUGGGAUCGGGACUAGAGAACUUGUAUUUAUUUUGUUUUGCUAAGUAACUUGGGUUUGUUAAUUUGGAUUUUAAACUUGUCAUACUAUUUAUAUUUACUAAAUCUCGUUGAUUGGUUUAUGAG